GCAAACUUGGUCAUUUAGAGGAAGUAAAAGUCGUAACAAGGUUUCCGUAGGUGAACCUGCGGAAGGAUCAUUAAAGAAGGACGCGAGUCCUACUUUUGACUGUGCGCUUCGGCUGCACGUCUCAUCCACACCUGUGCACCUUCGGUCGGCUCGUCCGGCUGUCACAUUUACUUUGUUGUCCUGAAUGUCUUUAUCAUAAUUAAUACAACUAUCAGCAACGGAUCUCUUGGCUCUCGCAUCGAUGAAGAACGCAGC
rnacentral:misc_RNA from 1 species